rnacentral:rRNA from 1 species
AUUUUGGACGAUGGGCGAAAGCCUGAUCCAGCAAUGCCGCGUGCAGGAUGAAGGCCUUCGGGUUGUAAUCUGCUUUUGUACGGAACGAAAAGUCCCUGGAUAAUACCCUGGGACCAUGACGGUACCGUAAGAAUAAGCACCGUCUAACUAAUUGCCAGCAACCGCGGUAAUACGUAGGGUGCAAGCGUUAAUCGGAAUUACUGGGCGUAAAGCGUGCGCAGGCGGUUAUAUAAGACAGAUGUGAAAGCCCCGGGCUCAACCUGGGAACUGCCUUUGUGACUGCAAGGCUAGAGUACGGCAGAGGGGGGUGGAAUUCCGCGUGUAGCAGUGAAAUGCGUAGAUAUGCGGAGGAACACCGAUGGCGAAGGCAACCCCCUGGGCCUGUACUGACGCUCAUGCACGAAAGCGUGGGGAGCAAACAG